rnacentral:lncRNA from 1 species
AUUAAGUGAAAAUUACACCAAACCAUACUUUAAAAAUUCAACGUCCUAAAAUUAGGUUAGAAAUUUCACAAUUCAAAAAUUAAUUUUUUUAUAUUAAUUAUUUAAAUAAACUAAUAAAAUUAGGAAAAUAUCAAAACCCUUCUCACUAACCAUCAAACCUGUAACUCUCCUUCGCUCUCCCUCCCUCCCUUCUCUUCAUCUCUUCGGUGCCAUCGAACAACUGUCGUUUCACGCACUUGGACGGCCCCGAGACAUAGAUGCUCCAACCAUCCAAUCCUCGUUGCAAGACUAUGCUUCGCGUCGGUAUUGGUGGAUCUAUAGCGAGGUGAGGAUGGUUUUGGUUUUAGAAUGUUGGUGGAUUGGUGUCAGUAUUGAUUUUGGAAGUUUCUAAAAUCAUCGUUGCUGGUAUGGUGGUUUGGGUGUGGUGUUGGUUGGCAGUGAUGGUGGAGAGCUGAUGGUGGUGGCAGCAGUGUGGAUUUGCGACGAGGUAAGGAUGGUUUUAGCUUUAGAAUGUUGGUAGAUCUACGUCGGUAUCGAUUUUGGAAGUCUUUAAAAUCAUCUCUGCUAGUGUGGUGGUUUUGGGUAUGAUGUUGGUUGAAAAUGGUGGAAGUAAUGAUGGCAGUGAUGGUAGAGAUCUAAUUUGUUGGUGAAGAGAUGAUGGUGGCAGCGCGGGUUGUGUUGGUGGUGGUAUAGUGGUGGGAUGGAGACGUGGCAACAGUGAGGUGGUGUGAUGAUGGCUGGUGAUCGUAGCAAUGGUUGCUUGUGACCAUUAAAUUUGUUAAUAUGUGAUCGAUAAAUAAUAUGUGACCAAAAAAUAAUAUGAGAUCUAAAAAAUUGUUCAUCUACGACGGAUAAUUUGAUAAUUUGUGACUAUAUAAUAAGUUGUGACCUGUAAUAAUUGAGAUUUGUGAUUAAUAAAUAAAUCAUGACUUAUAAAUUUUUCGAUUUGUGACUGAUGAACAAACUGUGACCUAUAAAAUUUUUGAAUUUUGAUCGUAAAAUAAUUUGUGACAUAAAAAUUUUGAUUUGAGAUCAAAAAAUAAUAAGGGUGAAUUUAAUUGUAAAUUUGUCACCAAAUUAUAUAGAUAUG